ACUGAUUCUUAGUUUAUGUAAACAUCCUACACUCAGCUUUAUCACAUGAAAUGGCUGGGAGAUGGAAGUUUACUUCAACUGAUUUGG
rnacentral:pre_miRNA from 1 species